GUGAUCAUAGUUCAGUGGUAGAGCAGCAGAUUGUGGUUCUGCCUGUCGUGGGUUCGAAUCCCACUGGUCACC
rnacentral:tRNA from 1 species